GCCGACGGGUCCGCCGCCCUUGGGGCCCU
rnacentral:sRNA from 1 species